rnacentral:lncRNA from 1 species
CCUCUUAAAUAUUCUACCAUGUCCGUCUUUGGAGAACUUUAGUCCUAAUAUUAACACCUUUUCUUGCAAACUUGGAUGUCCUAGCUACCUUGAUAUCAUGAACUGUGCUUCUAUGAUUGCCAUACUUAAUGGCAUCACUAGUGUCACUAGUAUCUCUAAUACUAUGACUAUGAUUCCUUUUAUUUUUAUGACUAAGAUUUCUACUAAUUUCAACUCGAGCAUGAUAAUUUCUAGGCCUCAAAGAUUUCCUCAAGUGUGCACUUUUGUAACCCCUCCUACGUGAAAAAGAUCUGCUUAUUUCUUCUGAAGAUAUUGGAACAUGGUAUGAAAGGCUUUCAUCACUGUAAUCCUCAUCAGUUGUAGAGUAAAGCUUUUGAAUUCUGAUCCUUCUUCUCUUCCUCUUAACCCUUUGUAACUUGACACACAAGAAAGUGCAUGAAUACUCACACGAGUGGAAACAACAAGAGAAGCA